CAGUCGCCGCGGUAAUACAGAGGGUGCGAGCGUUAAUCGGAUUUACUGGGCGUAAAGCGUGCGUAGGCGGUUAAUUGAGUCGGAUGUGAAAUCCCCGAGCUUAACUUGGGAAUUGCAUUCGAUACUGGUUAGCUAGAGUGUGGGAGAGGAUGGUAGAAUUCCAGGUGUAGCGGUGAAAUGCGUAGAGAUCUGGAGGAAUACCGAUGGCGAAGGCAGCCAUCUGGCCUAACACUGACGCUGAGGUACGAAAGCAUGGGGAGCAAACAGGAUUAGAGACCCGGGUAGUCCCUGUCUCUUAUAC
rnacentral:rRNA from 1 species